GACGAACGCUGGCGGCGUGCUUAACACAUGCAAGUCGAACGGUAAGGCCCUUCUUUUGUGGGGUGCUCGAGUGGCGAACGGGUGAGUAACACGUGAGUUACCUGCCCUUUUCUUUGGGAUAACUUCAGGUAACUUUGGCUAUUACCUUAUAGUAUCUCCUGCUGCUUGGUGGUGGUUGGAUAUUUUCGGCGGUUGGGGAUGUACUCGCGGCUUAUCAGCUUGUUGGUGGGGUAGUGGCUUACCAAGGCUUUGACGGGUAGCCGGCCUGGGAGGGUGACCGGAAAAAAGGGGAAGGAGAUAGGGACAAGAAGCAAAGGGGAGGAAAAAGGGGGAAAAAUAGAAAAAGGGGAGGAAGCAGGAGGAAGAAAGGCGGGGGGGGGGAAGAGGGCAAUGGGGUGGAAAAAAGAUUGAGAAGGAGAAGAAGAGAGAGUGAGGGUAAGGGGAAAAGAAGCACCGGCUAACUACGUG
rnacentral:rRNA from 1 species